rnacentral:rRNA from 1 species
GCCAGCAGCCAUAUCACUCUGAAACUCACAACUGGCAACCCACUGAAGCUAAGCAGGUGUGAGCCUGGUCAAUACCUGGAUGGGAGACCUCCUGGGAAAAACUAAGGUUACUGCUGGAA